YAUACAACUUUCAGCAACGGAUCUCUUGGCUCUCGCAUCGAUGAAGAACGCAGCGAAAUGCGAUAAGUAAUGUGAAUUGCAGAAUUCAGUGAAUCAUCGAAUCUUUGAACGCACCUUGCGCUCCUUGGUAUUCCGAGGAGCAUGCCUGUUUGAGUGUCAUUAAAUUCUCA
rnacentral:rRNA from 1 species